ACAAUAUACAAGGUGCUGCAUGGUUGUCGUCAGCUCGUGCCGUGAGGUGUCGGGUUAAGUCCCAUAACGAGCGCAACCCUAUCAUUAGUUGCCAUCAGGUCAAGCUGGGGACUCUAAUGAAACUGCCUACGCAAGUAGUGAGGAAGGUGGGGAUGACGUCAAAUCAGCACGGCCCUUACGUCCAGGGCUACACACGUGCUACAAUGGCCGGUACAAAGGGCAGCUACCUGGUGACAGGAUGCUAAUCUCCAAAGUCGGUCUCAGUUCGGAUCGGAGUCUGCAACCCGACUCCGUGAAGUUGGAUUCGCUAGUAAUCGCGCAUCAGCCAUGGCGCGGUGAAUACGUUCCCGGGCCUU
rnacentral:rRNA from 1 species